rnacentral:rRNA from 1 species
GCUGUAUCCCGCAGAGAUCUGGAUUUACAAGUUUUCCAAUAUAUGUAAUUUCAACAAAUGACCAAUACAAUGUUGGAACACUCUGAACAGAUAUAAAUUCCAAUCAUAUCCUUGCAAAUUACAAUACAAAUAGAUGGAACAAAAUCAGACUACAGUUCAUGUAAACAAAAUGACAAUUCCUAUUUUCCUUGUCCAGCGCCAAAUACAAAUGCCUAUGAUACCUUCAGUAGAAAGGCCCCUGCAAGCACAAACAUCAGAAGCAAAAACAGAAAAAUAGAAAAACAUUAGUGAUGAACCAGUGUAGUGAUCAAGGUGGCCUCAGACCGUCCUAGUUCGAAAGUGUCGUCAUUGCACAGACAAUCUAUGUUGCCUGUUCUGCAACCAAUACUAAUCAUCACCGGCCAAGAUCAACUUUCACACUUGCAAAAACCAAAGUACAGGAAAUAAAAGUCAAGCAAUGCAGAGUAAAUUGUGUCAGAUUCAAAGUAUUCUCAGCACCCUUCCGAGGAAGUAAGACAGGGAUAACUGUAUUUUUACUUGUGAUCUCAUCAUCCACAUCCAAACUGAACAGAUCAAAAACAAUAAAAAGACACAAAAAGGAGUUGUGUGGAAUCUAUCAGAUCUUCCUAUCAAUGUGAAAGAACUGACAUGGUCGCCACGGUGGACGAUUUCCCUUUCGUAGUUUCGCAUCAUUUAGAUCCCAAAAACACAAAUACAAACAUAUAAGAAAGUAAUACAAGUUCGGUAAUAUAUGAGGCGUUUCCAGGAUAAGCUGGCACUGAGAACGCCACCAAUCAGGAUAUCACCACACAUGAAUCGCUUCUAGCGUCCGAGCCAUUACCCCGUGAGGAACACAAAUCAUCCCCCGGAAUAGGUAAUGGACACGCGCAUCAACUAAAUUAAACCAAGAAAAAAUCAGCAAAAAAUCGAUCUAAGAUACAGGUUAAAGGCGUCGGUUUUGGGGGAUCUGGGAGCUCAGACAGCCAAGGGGUUGUCUUCAAAAGCGCUGCUGAAGAGGCAGCAUCAGAAACUCUAGUCCACAUAGAUGUCAUCACCGCUACUCGAACACCCCACAACCAGCCAAAGAUGCAAGCAGAGAAGAACACGGAUGGGAAAGAAAGCAAGAAGAAGAACCGACGUAUCGAUGGUGUGUGAUCUGGGAGCUCAGACAGCCAAGGGGUUGUCUGCAGAUGCCGCUGAAGAGGCGGCGUCAGAAACUCUAGUCCACAAAUUUGUCAUCACCGCUGCAAAACUCUCAUCAGCCAUCGAAGGGAGCACGAACAAGAAGCAAAUCCAAACGAAAACCGGAAGAGCGAUGUGGAUCGGGGGAGGGAGGAGAGAGGGGAUGGAGCCGCAGGUGGAUGAUUCGU